rnacentral:miRNA from 1 species
AAAGUCUUUGUGUAGUUUUAAGCUAUUAAAGUUUUAAAAUGCACUAAGACUUUUG